CCAACGUCUAGGAAAGAUAACCAAAACAACUAAGUCUGCGUGUCAGGCAGGCAAAACGCUCCUCUUCUUAGACCAUCCCCUGUGGUGUGAGGCAUUGGCGGACUACGGAACACAACCACGGCGCAGCCAGAACGCAGCCCGUCCACGCCAGGUGGAGUCCCGGGGGGGGGUUAUAGUCGGCAGGUAACGCAUACAGUCUACGUGCAAAAAAAAAAAGAAGAGAUAAUGUACUCUUCCCUUAUCAAAGUUGAUACCAACGCAUGUUUAUCUCACUAUGAUCAUCUCUGCAACCAGUUUUGUAUCUGGCCAGCAUCCCUGUAAUCUCUGUCACGAGCCGUUCUACCUCGGACCCCCCUUCAUCCCCAUCCCCCUUUGAUUCAAAGAGAACAUUUGAUCAUCUUGCUGCUCUGUAAUGUGGUAUGGAUGAGCAUGCACAGCACUCCUGUCCUUAUUGUACAUGUCUAGUCUCAGUUUCUUUCCACAUUCCAAGUACACAAGUAAAGCUAACUGGAAGCAGAGAGCAGCAAUAAUAACGAAACAAACUCGCAUUCUCCUCAUAGUUUAAAGCCCCCAUGGGUAGAAGUUUUAUGUGAUUGUAUAUUCCUUGAAACAAUUCUCUCGGUGGAAGUUUUAGUCAAGACAAUCCCAGUGAAACUUGGGGCAAUCUGUGUCUGCCUGUGUCUGUUUAGCCACCCAGCGCAAUAUCUCUGGAGAUAGCAAUCGCUAUCCGUGUGUCAGGUGAUUGGUCAGUCCUCUACUUCGGUCGAUACUGGAAGAAUGGGUUGCAAAGCAAUUUGGUACCGACAUAAUUGCUAAUUGGUCCAGGGAAUUAAUCCUUAGAAUGUUGGUGGUCCCCUGAUUGUGUGUGUGUGUGUGUGUGUGUGUUAAUACUGUAUAUCUGACCUCGAUGAGCACGGCACACUUUAUGUUGAUGCCUAACAUAAAACCUAGCUUUAGCAAGCAGCUUGUACUCGGUAUGGCAGGACGCUGAAAUAAUCACAGUGUGGGAAAGCGGGACCAGGGGUGUUUGGGUGACAGCUCUUCAUGUAGUAUCUGUAAUACAGCUUAUCUUCCACAUAUUGUACAUUCCAGUUUGACACCAAGAAGAAAUCUGUGCACAUUUAUAACAUAUUUUCAAGUGAUUUUGUUUACAAGAGCUGUAUCCUUGCAUGAGCUGAGAUUCUUAAAAAAAUAAAUAUCUACUUUAUUUACUGUC